CUCUAAUAUCAAGCUAGAUUAUAUAUUUUAAGGAAUAUAUACAAUUGCAGUAUUAGAUAUGUAAAGGAAGUUUACUCCUUCUUAAAAGUAAAGUUUUAAGUAAAUAUGGAAAAGAAAACAUUUGUAUUAGUAGGUAAUUACUGAAUAUACAGAUGUUUU
rnacentral:ncRNA from 12 species